AGCCGGGUCCUGCGCAACAGAGAGCCGCGAACCCCGCCAGGUCCGGGAGGAAGCAACGGUAGUGAAUCUCUUUGUGUGCCGCAGAGCGCCCGGCUAUC
rnacentral:SRP_RNA from 1 species